rnacentral:rRNA from 1 species
UACAGAGGGGGCAAGCGUUGUUCGGAAUUACUGGGCGUAAAGGGCGCGUAGGCGGCCCGCUAAGUCGGACGUGAAAUCCCCGGGCUCAACCCGGGAACUGCGUCCGAUACUGGCAGGCUUGAAUCCGGGAGAGGGAUGCGGAAUUCCAGGUGUAGCUGUGAAAUGCGUAGAUAUCUGGAGGAACACCGGUGGCGAAGGCGGCAUCCUGGACCGGUAUUGACGCUGAGGCGCGAAAGCCAGGGGAGCAAACGGG